rnacentral:rRNA from 1 species
UACGGGGGGGGCAAGCGUUGUUCGGAAUUACUGGGCGUAAAGGGCUCGUAGGCGGCCAACUAAGUCAGACGUGAAAUCCCUCGGCUUAACCGGGGAACUGCGUCUGAUACUGGAUGGCUUGAGUUUGGGAGAGGGAUGCGGAAUUCCAGGUGUAGCAGUGAAAUGCGUAGAGAUGCGGAGGAACACCGAUGGCGAAGGCAGCCCCCUGGGCUGACACUGACGCUCAGGCACGAAAGCGUGGGGAGCAAACAGG